rnacentral:rRNA from 1 species
AGUGAACGCUGGCGGUAGGCCUAACACAUGCAAGUCGAACGGCAGCACAGUAAGAGCUUGCUCUUACGGGUGGCGAGUGGCGGACGGGUGAGGAAUACAUCGGAAUCUACUUUUUCGUGGGGGAUAACGUAGGGAAACUUACGCUAAUACCGCAUACGACCUACGGGUGAAAGCAGUGGAUCUUCGCACCUUGCGCGAUUGAAUGAGCCGAUGUCGGAUUAGCUAGUUGGCGGGUUAAAGGCCCACCAAGGCGACGAUCCGUAGCUUGUCUGAGAGGAUGAUCAGCCACACUGGAACUGGGACACGGUCCAGACUCCUAAGGGAGGCAGCAGUGGGGAAUAUUGGACAAUGGGCGCAAGCCUGAUCCAGCCAUACCGAGUGGGUGAAGAAGGCCUUCGGGUUGUAAAGCCCUUUUGUUGGGAAAGAAAAGCAGCAGGUUAAUACCCCGCUGUUCUGACGGUACCCAAAGAAUAAGCACCGGCUAACUUCGUG